rnacentral:rRNA from 1 species
CUGGCGGCGUGCCUAACACAUGCAAGUCGAGCGGAGGUAUUGAAGGGAAACCUAAGAUACCUUAGCGGCGGACGGGUGAGUAACGCGUGAGGAACCUGCCUUAUACAGGGGGAUAACACAUCGAAAGAUGUGCUAAUACCGCAUAAAGUCAUUAGGGCGCAUGUCGUGAUGACCAAAGGAGCAAUCCGGUAUAAGAUGGCCUCGCGUCUGAUUAGCUAGUUGGCAGGGUAACGGCCUACCAAGGCGACGAUCAGUAGCCGACCUGAGAGGGUGACCGGCCACAUUGGGACUGAGACACGGCCCAGACUCCUACGGGAGGCAGCAGUGGGGAAUAUUGCGCAAUGGGGGAAACCCUGACGCAGCAACGCCGCGUGGAGGAAGAAGGUCUUCGGAUCGUAAACUCUUGUCUUUAGGGACGAAAGAUGACGGUACCUAAGGAGGAAGCCACGGCUAACUACGUGCCAGCAGCCGCGGUAAUACGUAGGUGGCGAGCGUUGUCCGGAAUUACUGGGUGUAAAGGGCGUGUAGGCGGGUAAGCAAGUCAGAUGUGAAAUACCGGGGCUCAACCCCGGGGCUGCAUUUGAAACUGUAUAUCUUGAGUGCAGGAGAGGGAAGCGGAAUUCCUAUUGUAGCGGUGAAAUGCGUAGAUAUUAGGAGGAACACCAGUGGCGAUAGGCGGCUUCCUGGACUGUAACUGACGCUGAGGCGCGAAAGCGUGGGGAGCGAACAGGAUUAGAUACCCUGGUAGUCCACGCCGUAAACGAUGGAUACUAGGUGUAGGAGGUAUCGACCCCUUCUGUGCCGGAGUUAACACAAUAAGUAUCCCACCUGGGGA